UGACAUUGCAAGAUAUAAAACAAAACAGAAGGGCACCAAUAUUAACACUUUCGGUUUCGAAUACACAUGAAAAUACACAAACAUAUAACAAAGUAUUAAGUAAAAAUUAUAUACGGUAACUCACGAAAUACGGUUGCAGUACCAUCUGAAAGUAGAACUACUCCAUCAGUAUAUCAUAUCAAUACUAUUCCAAUACAAAUGACAGACAAUACAAGUGAUGGUGGCCGCGACUGCAACUGCGGCUGCGGAGGUGGUGGAGGAGAUUAAACAAGUAAGGUCAGGGGCGUGGCGGCGGAGAAAAUUGUCGAGAAGGGAUGUUGGGGACGGGUGAUGGUUUUGAUUUGUCACCGCCUGGUGAUUUUCUCCUCGACACCACCUUGAACUUAUUAUCCAUUUCUAAGGACUUCCAGUAACCUAAUAAUUCAUUCUCCAUUCCCCUACUACUCUCCUCUGUAACCACAAAUUCAUGGAUUACCAUCAGUAAAACUAACACAUGCCAAACCCUACCCAUUUGCGUAAUUAUUAUAUAUCUACUUGCUGAUUCUCUCUUAUUUACAACCCGUAUACCUGAUUAUGCUCUUAUAUAUACACAUAUGAGCACACCCACAGAUGGUCGAUAUACAA
rnacentral:lncRNA from 1 species